rnacentral:rRNA from 1 species
UGAGGAAUAUUGGUCAAUGGGUGCAAGCCUGAACCAGCCAUCCCGCGUGAAGGACGACUGCCCUAUGGGUUGUAAACUUCUUUUGUAUAGGGAUAAACCUACCCUCGUGAGGGUAGCUGAAGGUACUAUACGAAUAAGCACCGGCUAACUCCGUGCAAGCAGCCGCGGUAAUACGGAGGGUGCAAGCGUUAUCCGGAUUUAUUGGGUUUAAAGGGUCCGUAGGCGGACUUAUAAGUCAGUGGUGAAAGCCUGUCGCUUAACGAUAGAACUGCCAUUGAUACUGUAAGUCUUGAGUAUAUUUGAGGUAGCUGGAAUAAGUAGUGUAGCGGUGAAAUGCAUAGAUAUUACUUAGAACACCAAUUGCGAAGGCAGGUUACCAAGAUAUAACUGACGCUGAGGGACGAAAGCGUGGGGAGCGAACA